rnacentral:rRNA from 1 species
AUUGAACGCUGGCGGCGUGCUUAACACAUGCAAGUCGAUCGGUAACAGGUGUAGCAAUACAUGCUGACGAGAGGCGGACGGGUGAGGAAUAUUUGGGAAUCUGCCCAUCAGCGGGGGACAACCCGGGGAAACCCGGGCUAAUACCGCAUACGCUCUACGGAGGAAAGCCGGGGACCGCAAGGCCUGGCACUGAUGGAUGAGCCCAAAUCGGAUUAGCUAGUUGGCGGGGUAACGGCCCACCAAGGCGACGAUCCGUAGCUGGUCUGAGAGGACGAUCAGCCACACCGGAACUGAGACACGGUCCGGACUCCUACGGGAGGCAGCAGUGGGGAAUAUUGGACAAUGGGGGAAACCCUGAUCCAGCGACGCCGCGUGGGUGAAGAAGGCCUGCGGGUUGUAAAGCCCUUUCGGUAGGGACGAAAGCUCUUGCUCUAACAAGGCAGGAGGUUGACUUAACCUACAUAAGAAGCACCGGCUAACUCUGUGCCAGCAGCCGCAGUAAUAC